rnacentral:rRNA from 1 species
AUAGCGUAUAUUAAAGUUGUUGCAGUUAAAAAGCUCGUAGUUGGAUUUCUUGCUUGAUAUAUUUUGCCGGCCACGGUUUCGUGUGUUAGUGCUUGAUAUUCUGGCCAUCCUUCCAAUGGCUAUUCAUCCUUCUUCAUUGAAGGUGUGAGUGGUAUUGGAUCUUUUACUUUGAAAAAAUUAGAGUGUUUCAAGCAGGCUUUAUGCUAUGAAUACAUUAGCAUGGAAUAAUAAUUUAGGACUUCGGUUCUAUUUUGUUGGUUUCUAGGACUGAAGUAAUGAUUGAUAGGGAUAGUUGGGGGUGCUAGUAUUCAGAGGCCAGAGGUGAAAUUCUCGGAUUCGCUGAAGACUAACUUAUG